rnacentral:rRNA from 1 species
CGAGUGAAGCAGGCAAAGCCCAACUUUAAAAUCUGGCGCUUUCAGCGUCCGAGUUGUAGUCUCGAGAAGCAUGGCUCGUGUCGGUCCGCGUCAAACUGGUUCGGAUGCCAGGUCAUAGAGGGUGACAAUCCCGUUGGCAACGCGGCCUCCCGAUGCAUCAGCAGUCUGCUCUCCAAGAGUCGAGUUGUUUGGGAAUGCAGCUCUAAUUAGGUGGUAAAUUCCAUCCAAGGCUAAAUAUCGGCGGGAGACCGAUAGCGAACAAGUACCGUGAGGGAAAGAUGAAAAGCACUUUGGAAAGAGAAUGAAAGAGUAUGUGAAAUUGCUGGAAGGGAAACGCUUGAAGUCAGACACGCGCGGGGGUAUUCAGCUCGGUUCGCCGGGUGCAUUUGCCCUCAUUGCGCGCCAGCAUCGGUUCGUGGGGCCGCAGCAGCGCGGUGGCAAUGUGGCCGUCUCCGGGCGGUGUUACAGGCCGCCGUUGUGGUCGGACCCGUGGACCGAGGAUCGCAGCGCGCCGCAAGGCAGCCCUCGAGGGGGUAGAGCGCUUAGG